rnacentral:rRNA from 1 species
UGGGGAAUAUUGCACAAUGGAGGGAACUCUGAUGCAGCGACGCCGCGUGAGUGAUGAAGGAAUUCGUUUCGUAAAACUCUGUUCUAUGGGAAGAAAAGGACUGUACCAUAGGAGAAAGCUCCGGCUAAAUACGUGCCAGCAGCCGCGGUAAUACGUAUGGAGCGAGCGUUGUCCGGAAUUAUUGGGCAUAAAGGGUGCGCAGGCGGCUUUACAAGUUGGAUGUGAAAUAUUGUGGCUCAACCACAAACGUGCAUCCAAAACUGCAAAGCUUGAGUUAAGGAGAGGUAAGUGGAAUUCCUGGUGUAGCGGUGGAAUGCGUAGAUAUCAGGAGGAAUACCGGUGGCGAAGGCGACUUACUGGACUUAAACUGACGCUCAGGCACGAAAGCGUGGGGAGCAAACAGG